rnacentral:rRNA from 1 species
UACGUAGGGUGCGAGCGUUACUCGGAAUUACUGGGCGUAAAGCGUGCGCAGGCGGUUUUGUAAGCCAGAUGUGAAAUCCCCGGGCUUAACCUGGGAAUGGCAUUUGGGACUGCAAGGCUGGAGUACGGCAGAGGAGACUGGAAUUCCUGGUGUAGCAGUGAAAUGCGUAGAGAUCAGGAGGAAUACCGAUGGCGAAGGCAGGUCUCUGGGCUGAUACUGACGCUCAUGCACGAAAGCGUGGGGAGCAAACAGG